CUCCAUUAGUAAAGAUGGACCUGCUGGAGGUCAGCCUCUAUUAACCCCUUCAUGACAUCAGAAGCAUCUAAUGAGGUUUGCGUAAACGCUUGUCAUGUAGGGAUUAACCUCUUCAAUGCCAAUCAGCAGUGGGAAGAAUGGGAGAAUUGAGGGUUUAAUAUCUUACCUUGACGAAGAGCUGGAGCUUGGAUUUCUCUCCUGUAUUUUUGGCCUCCAUGGAUGCAGAGUAGCUCCAAUACUUGUGAGUGAUGUUGCAGUGUAUGUGUGUGCCCCUUGCGUGUUGGACCUGUUUUGGAUGACAGUGCGGUUGUGAAUGCUUGACUUUAAUUGUACAGGUAAGGACACUCCCUUUAUCUCCACCUGCACUCACUGCAUUCCUCUGCCUUGCACGUCACCCUCCUGCUUUCUGUAUUAUCCUCAGCCUACCCACCUCCUGCCCAUUCCUUGCAUAACACUUACCUGGCUUCUCAUUCCCACCCAGAAACUGCCUCCUGACACCUACCUGGAGUUAUUUAAAUUUAUCACUGAUCUAACUGAGCAAAAAUGUUAAAAAUUGGAUCAUUAAG